AUAACAUUGGCUAGGUGCACCCCAUCAUCACCAUAAAGUCCAUAGUCAUCACCAUAAAGUCCAGAUUGAAUUCACAGUAUGCACACACAUGUCCGAAAAUGAGGAGGCUGCCAAGAAAGGCAAAGAAGUCCAGAGUUAAUGACGAAUGAAGAGUCAUGUGAUACAAGCUUUGCUCCUAAUUUGAGUCUUUCAUGAGUCAAGCAGAUGCAUAUGAAGAACUUAAGGACCAUAAUGAUUGCCAGUGGGGAAGGGUUGUCCUCCCAGAUGUAAGUGGUGCUUGGAUAUUCCAGUCAUUAUGAAUCAUUGCAGCCACCCUCUCCUGGACAUUUCUGAAUUGUCCUGCCCUCUUCAGAUCAGACAGUACAACAACAACAACAGAAAAGAGGGGAAAGAAGAGAGAAAAAAGAAAAGAAAAAAUAUUACAUGAGACUACAAUGUAAAGUACAAACAAUGUAGCAAAACCUAGCCACAUUGAAGCUAAUUGCAGCUGCAGUGAAGCAAGACACCUUCUACUGGUUUAUGUUAUCACACAGAACAGACCCUCCUUUGGCAGAAGAGCAGCGGCAUAAAAGGCCAUUGGCUUUAACUGAAUCAAGCCAUUUACAAGGCC